CACACUGAUCCCUGCCUCACUCUACUAGUCACCAGCCCCCAGCCUGGGGCAUCACAACUCUCGGGCACUAGCACUGCAGCGGCAGGGUGGGCUGCACAGCUGAGUGAUGUGCAGCUGAGGUUACAGAAUUUAAGCUGACUGGUCUGUAAUUCCCCAGGAAUGACAGGUUGCCUUUAGGUGUCAACAGCAAUAUAUGGGGCCCUCAGAUUCCCUGGAGCCCAUCCCUCCAGCUUUUAGGACUGGUGCUGGUCCACACAGAGGAUGACAACCUACUACUGCUAUCAGUUACUCCAUUCGCUUACGUGGCAGAGGUCUGUGUGGUGGAUUUAAAGGUUUCUACGCUGCUGAUGACCCGUGUGGGUGUCAAGAGGAGAUCACAUGAUGGAAUCUGUUCAGUUUGCUUUUUUUUUUAACAAACUAGGAAAUGCCACAGAACUGUUAACAGAACACUGGGGUUUAAACUGCUGACAAAGCCUUCUGGAUGGGAUGGCUCUUCUGGAGUCAGGGUGUUCAUUCAGCUACCAGAGUCCUCCACGUGACACAAGCACACAGAACAUCAGCUCGGCCUGACUGGAAACAAAGGACUAAGAUGCUCUUAUAAUUAGAAGGGCCUACACUCCAGGGGGGAACAUCAAAGAAAACCCAGCCCAUGAGGGUCAGAUCCCAGGUGAGUCUGCAGAACAGCACCAAGAAAACUAGCUCUUGCCUCAUAAAGAGAGCAGACGGUGUGGAAGGGUCAGCACAGAACUCCACCCAGCACGAUACCCCCCUGAAAGGUGAAAAAGGACCCGGUUGUCUCUGUGCACAAGAAGUGAAGGGGAAAGUCUGGCUAAGCUGCUUUCACCCCAUCACACUAACGUGAGUGUAGCCUGGACCUGUACAGCUAGGAGGCACUUUUGUUCUUUGUGGCUUUAUGACACAAACCAAGUCUCUGCAGCGUGUGCACACAAACCUUGCACUGGCGCCCCCUGGCUUGUGCACGCUGUGUCCCAUGCCUCCCUAACCAGCCUGCGCCUGUCUGAGUAUGCUGGAGAGGUUCUAGGGAAAUGGGGCCCCCACAAUGCGACUACACCAGGAGGAGCACAUCUGACUGAGCCCAACGCUCUUCCCUACAAGGCUCUGGCAGCGUCACCAACUCUUAUGUGAACAGGAUCGGCACCAUAGCUGGUGUUUUGCUUAAAGCCCCAGCUUCUGGAGUCAGGUGAUUAUGGGAGACUCUCAGUUUCCACUUACAGAAAGCACAUUUCUAGUUUUUGGGGAUCAGGAAGAAAGCUAGAAAAUGUGAAUCCUCCAGGCUUAAGACCAGAAGGCAAAUAAACAAACCAAAAACAUGUUUUAAAAUCGCCUGAUUUUUAAGCCAAUCUCAUGAUUUUGGGGCCUGAACCCUUGGGGUGGGUGACACUGCAG